GUGACUUGAAGGGGCACAAAACACUUCCAAAGAAACCCACACACAGGAAAGCAGAGCAAAGCCAGCACUUCUCUCCAGCAAGCUGCUCUUGUGUACCUAUUCCUUGCCUUCUUGCUGUGUACUCACACACAGCAGCCAUCCCCCAGGAGAAUGGGAGCUGCACCUUGAAAUGGAGACUGAUGCUUUUUCUUGCACUGAGAGAAAAGCUUUACAGACUACAAAGCAUAAGACUUUAUGCAAUGAGACUGCAAAAGCUACUAUAAUUCAGAGAGCGGCAAUUCCCAGCCAAGCUAUUUAUAGAGAAAUAGAGGCAUUUUGGACUCCAGGAGAUUCCUUAUGAAAUACAGAAAAGAAUACAGAGUUCUUUAAUCCUGGAUGAAAGAGUGAAGUCAAUGGAAGGGCCCACAGCGCCACCCCCAGGAAAUAGAAUCCGAGGGAGCUGAAGGCAGUGUCCUGCCAGAGAACCUGCUUUCCUGAGACCCAAAUGGCUCUGAGAUCAGAAUUAAGAACAAGCAAGAUCAACUUCAUGUAAUCAGAACAGACUGCAAAGGAAAGGGGUCUGUUCUUAUGCAAGUUGAAUACUGACCCCUGACUUCAGUUGUCUUUGACAAUAAUUAUUUUGUAACUCACAUUUUUUUAAAACACUAGAUUAUUCUGGUCUGUUGAGAAGUACUACACAUGACUGUGCAACUGUAUUAAAGAAACAAAGGGGCACUUGGUCCUGGGGGGAAACCUCUUAGGGAAUAUGGGAAAGGACUGGGGUAGGAGAGCCUAAAGAGGGUAUGCUGUGUUAUUUUAGUACACACAAGUUCUUUGGAGAUUUGUUUAGUUCUGUGCUAAGUACAGGAGUAAGUCAAGGGAAAUGUAUAUUAUCUUGCUGUUUGAUGUAGUUUUAUAAAUAUAGUUUAGUAACGUAAGAGCUGGCAUACUGGACCAGAUGAAUAG